GUACUGCUGAAGAGUCCCAAACUAGGAUGAAACAGCCGUUUAGUAC
rnacentral:hammerhead_ribozyme from 1 species